rnacentral:rRNA from 1 species
UACAGAGGGUGCAAGCGUUAAUCGGAAUUACUGGGCGUAAAGCGCGCGUAGGUGGUUUGUUAAGUUGGAUGUGAAAUCCCCGGGCUCAACCUGGGAACUGCAUUCAAAACUGACUGACUAGAGUGUGGUAGAGGGUGGUGGAAUUUCCUGUGUAGCGGUGAAAUGCGUAGAUAUGGGAAGGAACACCAGUGGCGAAGGCGACCACCUGGACAAACACUGACACUGAGGUGCGAAAGCGUGGGGAGCAAACAGG